rnacentral:lncRNA from 1 species
UCUAAAUUUUAGAAUCAUCUUACCAGUUUCUACAAAAAUUCCUUCUGAGAUUUUGAUGGAGAUUGCAUUGAAUCAACAGAUCGAUUUGUGAAGCACUGGCAAUAUGAUAACAGUAUUGAAUCUUCUUUUUUUUUCUCAUUUGUUUCUGAUGAAAUUACUGACCUUCAGUAUUGAGUCUUCUAAUCCAUGAAUAUGAUGAGAAAACUGGGUCUGAGAAUCCAGAUGUCCUGAGUGAGUAACGGGAAAAUUUUCACUUCUUCCUGUGGAAGCCUGUCACCCCCCAACUCCAUCCUGGGCUGAGGAAGUUGCGUUCUUCUCUCACGGAGCUGGAGAACCUUUCAAGGGCUCAUUCCAGUGGUCUAGGCUGCAACUCCUGCUUGGAGUCACAUCCAGCCAUGCUUUCUGUGCCCUGAUCAGCUGGAUUAGAUGUGAAGAUUCUCAGAAUUUCAGAAUUGAGAUGCAGAGAUUCUCCAUUCAGAGUCUCAGAAUUCCCAGAUUCUCAGAAUCUCCAAAAGCUUGCUGGUCCCCCGGGCAAAUGCAGCCGCUAGGGAGGGGCACCUACAUGGAGGCGGUAUGCAGCUGGCUACAGAACAAACAGCAGAGAAGAUGUCUGAGUUGGAGGACAUUGAGGCUCCACCAGCCCUAGGGGGCACAGGAGACCAGGGACACACGAAACAGAACAGCAGCCUGACCUCUGCCCUGGGUCACACUGGCAUGGGCUCCAUCUGUUCCUGAAUGAGGAGAGAGGCUGAAGUGAGAGCCUGACAUUUGUCCUUCUCUCAUCUUUCUGUCUAGCCUGUCCCUUAAUCGGGCUCUGAUAAGAGGCGACAGGAGACUCAUAUAAGCACCAGCUUUUGGUCCUUGAUGAUAGGUUACUGUAAAUGACAUGGAGGCCCUUUACCAAGAAUGGAUAAAUUGCUCCCAACAGAGGCAGGAGGAACGCUUGAAGCCAGGAGUCUGAGACCAGCCUGGACAACAUAGCGAGACCCCAACUCUACCAAAAAUUUAAUCAUUAGCCAGGUGCUGUGGUAAGCACCUGUAGUCCCAGCUACUUGGGAGAUCGAGGUGGGAGAAUCACGUGAGCCUGGGAGGUUGAGGCUGCAGUGAGCUGAGAACACGCCACUGCACUCCAGCCUGGUGGACAGAGUGAGACUUUGUAUUUAAAAAAAAAAAAAAAAAAAUCAGCCAGGUGCAGUGGCUCACACCUGUAAUCCCAGCACUUUGGGAGGAUGAGGCAGGUGUAUCUCUUGAGGUCAGGAGUUUGAGAGCAGCCUGGCCAAAAUGGUGAAACCUCAUCUCUACUAAAAAAAAAAAAUACAAAAAUUUGCUGGGCAUGCUGGCGGGCAGCUGUAAUCCCAGCUACUUGGGAAGCUGAGGCAGGAGAAUUGCUUGAACCCUGGAGGCGGAGGCUGCAGUGAGAUGAGAUCGCACCAUUGCAAUCAAGGCUGGGCAACAAGAGCGAGACGCCAUCUCAAAAAAAAAAAAAAAA